GUAUAUAUAUAUAUAUAUAUAUAUAUAUAUAUAUAUAUAUAUGUGUAUAGUUUACUUUUCCGCUUAGGUAAGAUCAACAUAAAAAUUACUCCAUCCAGUAAGAGAUUUUAUUUAAU